UACGAAGGGGGCUAGCGUUGCUCGGAAUUACUGGGCGUAAAGCGCACGUAGGCGGCUUCUUAAGUCGGUGGUGAAAUCCUGGAGCUCAACUCCAGAACUGCCUUCGAUACUGGGAGCUCGAGUCCGGGAGAGGUGAGUGGAACUGCGAAGUGUAGAGGUGAAAUUCGUAGAUAUUCGCAAGAACACCAGUGGCGAAGGCGGCUCACUGGCCCGGUACUGACGCUGAGGUGCGAAAGCGUGGGGAGCAAACAGG
rnacentral:rRNA from 1 species